GAUGAACGCUGGCGGCGUGCCUAAUACAUGCAAGUAGAACGCUGAAGGAGGAGCUUGCUCUUCUGGAUGAGUUGCGAACGGGUGAGUAACACGUAGGUAACCUGCCUGGUAGCGGGGGAUAACUAUUGGAAACGAUAGCUAAUACCGCAUGACAACAGUUAUUGCAUGAUAACUGUUUAAAAGGGGCAACUGCUCCACUACCAGAUGGACCUGCGUCGUAUUAGCUAGUUGGUGAGGUAACGGCUCACCAAGGCGACGAUACAUAGCCGACAGGAGAGGGGGGUCAGCCACACUGGGACGGAGACACGGCACAGAGGCCUACGGGAGGCAGCAGUAGGGAAACGUCGGCAAUGGACGGGAGUCUGAGCGAGAAAGGCCGCGUGAGUGAAGAAGGUUGUCGGAUGGGAAAGGUCGGUUGUAAGAGAAGAAAGAGUGUGAGAGUGGAAAGUUCACAGUGUGACGGUAACUGACCAGAAAGGAACGGCUAACUACGUG
rnacentral:rRNA from 1 species